rnacentral:tRNA from 1 species
GCCCGCAUAGCUCAGUUGGCAGAGCAGCUGAUUUGUAAUCAGCAGGUCGGAGGUUCGAAUCCCCCUGCGGGCU